AGGACAUUGUCUUUACCAGAAAAUUGCUCUUAGCUGCGUAUUCCCUCAACCCUUUCCACCGUGCUGGGAAAGACGAAGAGAUCUGGCUGGCCGUGAUCGGCUUAAUCAGGACUGUGUGAACUCGUCUGGAAAAGCCUCCGAGACCCAUUUGAAAUGCAGGAGGAGAACAGAGGUGAAAUCGGAACACUACCACUAUCUGAAUUAAUUCACGGCCAUACAAAGCGGAAGGAUGGCUUCAAGAGUACCACUGAAAUGCAGAAUCCAUUUUCAAAAGAUGAAGCCUGGUCUAUGAUGGAUCUGAGGACAGUCUGAAGUAGACCCAAGGAUUAUUAGAUCCAGACAGACUGAUAAUAGGCAGCAG